rnacentral:rRNA from 1 species
AUUGAACGCUGGCGGCAGGCCUAACACAUGCAAGUCGAAGGGUAGCACAGAGAGCUUGCUCUCGGGUGACGAGUGGCGGACGGGUGAGUAACGUCUGGGAAACUGCCCGAUGGAGGGGGAUAACUACUGGAAACGGUAGCUAAUACCGCAUAACGUCGCAAGACCAAAGUGGGGGACCUUCGGGCCUCACACCAUCGGAUGUGCCCAGAUGGGAUUAGCUAGUAGGUGGGGUAAUGGCUCACCGAGGCGACGAUCCCUAGCUGGUCUGAGAGGAUGACCAGCCACACUGGCACUGAGACACGGUCCAGAGUCCUACGGGAGGCAGCAGUGGGGAAUAUUGCACAAUGAGCGAAAGCCUGAUGCAGCCAUGCCGCGUGUAUGAAGAAGGCCUUCGGGUUGUAAAGUACUUUCAGCGGGGAGGAAGGCGGUGAAGUUAAUAGCUUCACCGAUUGACGUUACCCGCAGAAGAAGUACCGGCUAACUCCGUGCCAGCAGCCGCCGCAG